rnacentral:ncRNA from 1 species
AGACCUGCAUAAUUGCAGGUGUUCAGUCGAGUCCAGCCUGCCUUAGGAAUCUUGCAUUUAAAAGGGAAAAAAACCAGCAAUAAUUGAAAGACUCCAGAGGGUAAAACAUUCUUGAACCGUAAUAUGGCGACUGACGGCAAUAUUAGAGAGUUUAGAGACAUCAGCAAGAGUCUCAAGAAGAGUUAUUUUUUAACAGCCCACUUAUCUUGGAAAUGACUUAGUCUGAGAUAGGAUCCAUCAGCUAGAAGAGCACUGCACGUUGCGUGAUGUUUGGUGCGUCCCCGACGGCUCUUGAAAAUCCAGAGGAUCGAGUGCCUCCCACACCCGGUUGUACUCAUAAUCACAUCAACU